GAUGAAGAACGCAGCGAAAUGUGAUAAGUAAUGUGAAUUGCAGAAUUCAGUGAAUCAUCGAAUCUUUGAACGCACAUUGCGCCCCUUGGUAUUCCGGGGGGCAUGCCUGUUCGAGCGUCAUUAUAACCCCUCAAGCUCAGCUUGGUGUUGGGGCCUGCCGACUGGCAGCCCUUAAAAUCAGUGGCGGCGCCAUCUGGCUCUAAGCGUAGUAAUUUCUCUCGCUAUAGAGUCCCGGUGGAUGCUUGCCAGCAACCCCCAACUUUCUAUGGUUGACCUCGGAUCAGGCAGGGAUACCCGCUGAACUUAAGCAUAUCAAUAAGCGGAGGA
rnacentral:misc_RNA from 1 species